rnacentral:lncRNA from 1 species
CUUUAAUAAGUUUAUCAAAGUGACUCAGAGAGUAAGAGGCUCUGCAGUCGAAGCUUUGAUAAGGGGCGGUUGCAGUUGAUAGACUAUGAACGUUCAAACGGGAAAGUUCAGAUAAAUCAGACAGUUUUCACAGUUAUAAAUUUUGCCUUGAUUGAUCAGACUUUAGGAUUGAUUGAGUUGUCAAAAAGGAAGAGCAUUUCAAAUUCCAAUUCCAAUCUCUCCAUGUCAUUUGGUUUGUUGGUACCACCAAUACAACUAUUCUGUUUGACAAGAGGGCAGAAUCACCUCUCUGUGGCCAAAAAGAUUUCUCCUCAGAACAACAGGCACAGAAGAACCAGAGAUAUUAAGAAAAUUGUAUUUUCUGUCUCCAAUAGGGAUGAGCUGAGCCUCCUCAGAGGCAUUUGUGGUUGGUUUGUUCUUCAGUGACUUUAUCCACCAGUUUUCAAGUCUGCAUCUCUCUCUCUCUCUCUCUCUCUCUCUCUCUCUCUCUCUCUCUCUCUCUAUAUAUAUAUAUAUAUAUAUAUAUUCUUCUUUCAUUGCAAUUUGUCCCCCACAAUAAAAGUUCAUCUCCAUCAUCAUCAUCAUCAUCAUCAUCAUCAUUGCCAUUUGGACUCCAACAAAAUGAAGAAAAGGGCAUGCCUAAUUCUAGUGGCCAGUCUUCUGAGUUGGGUUUGUGUAACAAGCAGACCUUUUACAUCCUCUGACUUCGCUCAUCAACAAGGUUAGCUAAAACCUCAUUUUUUUGACCUUUCAUUCUUUUAUAGUAAUAUCUACUUGAGUCCAAAUGUUUUUUUAUUAUAUCCACUAUACCAUGUUGCUAAUUAGUUUCUAUACAUAGCUGAUCAAGACCAAAACCCACAUCCCCAAGAUGCAACCUUUGACCCAAAACAGGUACAUCUCGGGCUCUCCCUAUCUGGGUUUUGAAUUUCUUAUGCUAUAAUGCGUAAGUGUUUGUUUGUUUUUUUGUAGGGAGUUGAAGGCAUUGAAGGACUUCCGGGAGAUGAUGAAAAUGAAGGGAAGUAUAGAGGGCUGAGCAGGCUUGGCUCAAGACCACCAAAUUGUGAGCACAAAUGUCAAGGCUGUGUGCCAUGUUUUCCAGUUCAGAUACCCACAACCACAGACCAAAUUGGACUUCAAUAUGCAAAUUAUGAGCCUGAAGGAUGGAAAUGCAAGUGUGGCUCUACUUUCUUCAACCCAUAAAUGGUUCAGUUUUUUCAAGUUCAAACUUCAGAGACAACUUGAU